GGAAAAAAUGAUUUCAAUUGAUAGCUUGUACUGACAGAAAAGAGAAUUAACGUAGGUAUUGGGGAAAUAUGAUGCACAUGGAAAAGAUUGUCUUAAAUUUUUGGAGAAAUUACAACUUGACAACUUUUUAUUAUUAAUCUAAGGCUUAGCCCACAGCCUCGGAACCUUAGAGUAAGAAACUCGAAAGGAGAAGCUUAAGCGCAGCGAUGCCUGCACCCACUCUAGCACCGCGCUGCCUUGACCUCCGAUCAUCCAGCUCAACAGGACACCGAUAACCACCAAGAGAGCAAGGAAACAAGAGAGGCAUCUUCCGCUAAUAGCCAUGCAUGGCUCAAAGAACAAGAAGAAGAUACCCUCUUCUAGAACAAAAGUCCUAAGCCUCCCAAUAGCCAAAGCAAUGUCUAUCAUCAGUGACUCUAUCGGAGAAGAAUGGUAAAGCUCCCGGUAUCUCAAACAGUAAUAAAGCGAUAUAUUUAAUCGAGAAGAAAAAGAAAUAGUUUUGACGUACUUGGAAAGAACUCACCCUUAUGCAUGA
rnacentral:misc_RNA from 1 species